rnacentral:rRNA from 1 species
AACGAACGCUGGCGGCAGGCUUAACACAUGCAAGUCGAGCGCCCCGCAAGGGGAGCGGCAGACGGGUGAGUAACGCGUGGGAAUCUACCCAUCUCUACGGAAUAACGCAUGGAAACGUGUGCUAAUACCGUAUACGUCCUUCGGGAGAAAGAUUUAUCGGAGAUGGAUGAGCACGCGUUGGAUUAGCUAGUUGGAUGGGUAAAUGCCUACCAAGGCGACGAGCCAUAGCUGGUCUGGGAGGAUGAUCAGCCACACUGGGACUGAGACACGGCCGAGUGUCAUACGGGGGGCAGCGGUGGGGAAUAUUGAAAAAUGGGGGCAAGCCUGAGCCAGCCAUGCCGCGUGAGUGAGGAAGGCCCUAGGGGUGUAAAGCUCUUUCACAGGUGAAGAUAAUGACGGUAACCGGAGAAGAAGCCCCGGCUAACUUCGUGCCAGCCGCCGCGGUAAAAC